GAUUGGGUAAAAUGGUGGGUCAAACGUCCAUUUUACCGCCGUAUUGUUGGGUCUUUAGUCGAUUGUCGGGUCCCAAAGUCGAUUAUCGGGCACUUGGACCCGACAGUUGAAGACCCACUUAAUAAAAGGCUGCUUAACAUCCUCAUGACUAUUUUUUAAUUCAAAUUUGCAUAUGUAAUUUUACUCGAAUUGUCGGGCCUAUAUCUCCCAUUCGCAAACAUUAGAUCAAACUCCUCACGGCAGUUACUUCCCUUGGGCAUCUUCUAGAAUAAGGGAGGCCACUGAGCCCUUUUCGGAAAGUCGCAUAUCUCCCCUGAGUAUUCUCCGGAAUUGGAGGUUCUCAAUCGCUGGCAUUCGGUACCCCUCGCAGAUUAUCAUAAUACUUAUCCGAUGUUUGACGGAAAGGGCCGAGAAUGUGCGAUUGAAUCGCUGGGUAGUAUUGAUUUCCAGUAACAAUGGCGUCGAAUGAGAAAGAAAACGAUCGUUAUCUGUCUGACAUCGAAAUUGACAAAUUAAGUGUUGCACAAUUGAAGGAUUAUUUACGAUUUCAUAAUCAUUAUGUGUCAGGGAAUAAGAAUGAACUUGUCUUGAGGACAAAAGGCGUACAAAAGCUAGGAUUAAAUGAUCGACAGCUGCACAGGAAUGCGGAAGUAAAUUAUGAAAAAAGGAAAACAGAAAAACUUUUUACGCCACUCGGUGAAAAGCUGCCACAUCCAGAUGUAUUAAAAACGUUGAGUAGUGACUUAAUGGACUUUCCUACAUUAAUAGAUAGUGACAUCUACAAUUAUUUUGUGCUGAAAAUGAACACACAAAAACAAUUGAGAUCAAAAAAUUGUAUUAUGUUUACAGACAUAAACACAGUAUUUUGUACCAUGACAUAAGUGACAAAUGGGAACAUUGUUUUGUUAAAUGCAAAGUAUUACCAUCUCUACCGAGUGCAAAUGUGAAAGAAAACCCAGAUCACAGUGUGUGGCUCUGUCUGUCAAAGGUCACUGGACAGGUUCAUUCAGCGGAAUGUAAUUGCACAGCCGGGAGCGGAGAAGCAUGUAUCCAUAUUGGUGCAUUUAUGUAUGCCCUUUCUGAUCUCACUGCUAAAAAGAAGGACGGCACUCUAAGAUCAACCUCAAAAAAAUGCGUGUGGGACAGAUUUAAUAAUCCCCGGAAAAGAAAGCGAACGCCUAAAAAGUCUAGCGAAUUUACAUUUCGGAAACAUACCUUUGAGUCAAAAUUAGAGCCAGUCGAAAAUAACACCAGAAAAGAACUUCUUGCGAUUUCUGUAAAUGAGAACAGUUUCCGUUCAAAACUCGAAAAUAUGCAACCCAACAGCUGGAUGGCUUUUGAACUUUGUAGAAGAGAAGGAAGAGGUGAAAUUACCAAAGUUUAUAGAAAUUGGAUAUAACUUUAGUGAUAGCGUAGAUCUGAAUAGUGAAACUGUGAAGGAUAAAAUGUCGAAAAUGAUGGAUAUGCUACAAAUGGAUGAACUUGAAUGCCAAAGUAUUGAAAAAUUAACCAGAGGUCAGGGAAAGAACGUACUUUGGGAAGAUGAAAGAAAAUUACGUGUAACUGCAUCCAAUUUUGGUGAAGUAAUUUUACUGAAACAAGAGACUGAAAGAUUUAAAAGAAAUUGAGUGCAAUCUUUAAAGAAUAGUAACAAAUAUGAAUUUAAGAUCACAAUUGUGAAUUUCUCGCAAGCUUACCCUUGCUCCUAGAAUAUGUUUUUAUAAUUUUGAUGUCUCACUUUUCUCUAGAGAUUAACCCUUUACCACUUAGAUAUGUAUUUUCAAGCUUUUGUAGUUCCUUAAAAAGUUAAAUGUAAUAAAGUACCUUUAUUACUAAAUUUAAGUUUUAAAGGCUUCAUUUCCAACCCUUAAAUACUGAUGAGCAGCAAACAGUAUAAAACCUGAACAGACUGCGAGUUACUAGCAUGCUGUUCUGGUUUUAUGCUGUUUUCACUGUGCUUCCAAGUGGAAUAGGGUUAAAUAACAAAAGUUAACGCCAGAUCAGAAAAUAAUUUAAGUAACAACAGUACAGGACAUCAUUGAGGUCCCUCCUUUUUUAUGUUUCAAUAGUCAUUUAGCUCUACAAAGCAUAUAAAUAUUGUACAUAAAAGUGUAUGAAUGUAUAAAUAUUUAUCAACUGUUCAUAUUAUGAAUUUUACAGUAGUACAUGUAGAAUGCUUUUCAACGAUUUGUGUACGGUUCAUUAAUACCAUCACAACGUGAUUGUCAAUUGUUAUUCCGCUAAAUUGAUUUGCUCUUAAAAUGAUAAAUCAUAAAAAGAA